rnacentral:rRNA from 1 species
AUUGAACGCUGGCGGAAUGCUUUACACAUGCAAGUCGAACGGCAGCACGGACUUCGGUCUGGUGGCGAGUGGCGAACGGGUGAGUAAUACAUCGGAACGUGCCCAGUCGUGGGGGAUAACGUAGCGAAAGCUACGCUAAUACCGCAUACGAUCUAAGGAUGAAAGCGGGGGAUCGCAAGACCUCGCGCGAUUGGAGCGGCCGAUGGCAGAUUAGGUAGUUGGUGGGGUAAAGGCUCACCAAGCCGACGAUCUGUAGCUGGUCUGAGAGGACGACCAGCGACACGGGGACUGGGAAACGGCCCAGACUCCUACGGGAGGCAGCAGUGGGGAAUUUUGGACAAUGGGCGCAAGCCUGAUCCAGCCAUGCCGCGUGCGGGAGGAAGGCCCUCGGGUUGUAAACUGCUUUUGUACGGAACGGAAAGGCUCUGGUUAAUACCUGGGGCUCAUGACGGUACCGUAAGAAUAAGCACCGGCUAACUACGUGCCAGCAGCCGCAGUAA